ensembl:lncRNA
AGAUAUAUGCUAUUUUAUUCAACAAGCAACUUAACUCAAAUAAUGAUGAUGAUGUGUGCACUAGGCAUCUCUUUCCAGCUGUCUCCAGGCUGUUGUGCACGAGCUGAGCGCCUGCUGUUCAAGUCACGCACAAUGCACUUUUGCAGCCAAGCACAUAUUUUUGUGUCAUUUGAAGGGAAAAUGGGUGCAAUUUAGCAUUCGAGUCACUUUACAAAAGUUGCUCAAAGGUGCCAAAUAUAUAUUUUUAAAUGGCUAGAUUUUUUUCUAUGUGCUGUGGAAAAAACACGUUGCCAGGGUAGUCUGAAAGGUAGCUGAAUCGUCCCAGCCGUCGGAGCUCUUUGACCUACGUGUAUUGAGAUGGAGUAAUGGUUAUAACAUUGUACAACAAUUAUUACCCCAAACUAACGGUAAAACACCAGGACACAACAAUUAGUGACAGAUAAACAAUUUGUAACAAUAAGAUUUAUUGCUUUUUUAAAAUUGUAUAUGUCGUAUGACCAAUACAUUUAAAGCUUCUUUGUCUGAAAAGUUGACAUAUUUAAUAAAGGCUCAUGAAUGUGUCCUUGUGUUUCAUUAUUAAAAGAUAAAUGUUCAUUACAGACACCUGGUAUUUCCAUUACACAACCCUGAUUUAUCGUAGGUACCUGGAAUGGAUUAAUGGGCCAUUUUAAGGUUUGAGUCUCUUCCUCGGAUUAAAUAAACAAUAGUAUAAGUUAGAGCAUCUUUACAAAGGCUUGUGUGUGUUUGUUGAUGUUUAAGUUCUCCCAGAUACAAAUGAUCAGCUCCUCACCAGUUCUUCCUGAAGCUUUAUCCACCAGUGCUGAUGAGUGGACUGUGAAACAAUUCGUCCUGGUUGUAAGGAUCACGGAGGGGGGCCCAGAGAGUAUGCUCAUCUGAUUUUUUUGGGAAAACCGUAGCACACGGAGUAAACCCACUAAAAAAGAUUCAACCAGUUUAACAGAACGACAACCAUCCGACGGCACGGCCAUAGUGUAAACUACCAAAUUAUGUCUUAUCUUAACUUGAUUACAUUAGUCUGAUUGAUUUAAAGUUUUUUUGGGAAAACCGUAGCACACGGAGUAAACCAAACCAAAAACGUUUAGCCAGUUCUUCACUUCAGCUCCCACUUGAGGUCCUGGGUGAUGAUGGAGCCCAGGAAACGGAAGGAAUCC